UACGUAGGGUGCGAGCGUUGUCCGGAAUUAUUGGGCGUAAAGGGCUCGUAGGCGGUUUGUCGCGUCGGGAGUGAAAACCUCGGGCUUAACUCGGGGCUUACUUUCGAUACGGGCAGACUGGAGGUAUGCAGGGGAGAACGGAAUUCCUGGUGUAGCGGUGAAAUGCGCAGAUAUCAGGAGGAACACCGGUGGCGAAGGCGGUUCUCUGGGCAUGACCUGACGCUGAGGAGCGAAAGUGUGGGGAGCGAACAGG
rnacentral:rRNA from 1 species